rnacentral:rRNA from 1 species
AUUGAACGCUGGCGGCAUGCCUUACACAUGCAAGUCGAACGGCAGCACGGGGCAACCUGGUGGCGAGUGGCGAACGGGUGAGUAAUGCAUCGGAACGUACCUUUCAGUGGGGGAUAACGUAGCGAAAGUUACGCCAAUACCGCAUAUUCUGUGAGCAGGAAAGCAGGGGAUCGCAAGACCUUGCGCUGAUUGAGCGGCCGAUGUCAGAUUAGCUAGUUGGUGGGGUAAAGGCUCACCAAGGCGACGAUCUGUAGCGGGUCUGAGAGGAUGAUCCGCCACACUGGAACUGAGACACGGUCCAGACUCCUACGGGAGGCAGCAGUGGGGAAUUUUGGACAAUGGGGGCAACCCUGAUCCAGCCAUGCCGCGUGAGUGAAGAAGGCCUUCGGGUUGUAAAGCUCUUUCGGCCGGGAAGAAAUCGCAUGGGUUAAUACCCUGUGUGGAUGACGGUACCGGAAUAAGAAGCACCGGCUAACUACGUGCCAGCCGCCGCAGUAAAAC